rnacentral:rRNA from 1 species
GAAAUCAAAAGAGACUCCCCUAGUAGUGGCGAGCGAACGGGGGACCAGCCUAAAACCCAUUGAGGUAAAACUCGGUGGGGGUCGUGGGGCCCGCGAUAUGGGAUUCUGGAAGUUAGACGAACGGUCUGGGAUGGCCGGCCAUAGAAGGUGACAGCCCUGUAAUCGAAAACCGAAGGAGCCCUAGCGGGUACCCGAGUACCGCAGGACACGUGUAAUCCGGCGGGAAUCUGGGAGGACCAUCUCCCAAGGCUAAGUACUACUGAUCGACCGAUAGUGAACUAGUACCGCGAGGGAAAGGUGAAAAGAACCCCGGUUAGGGGAGUGAAAUAGUACCUGAAACCGUGUGCCUACAAGCAGUGGGAGCGCUAUGCCCGCAAGGGAAGGCGUCACCACGUACCUUUUGCAUAAUGGGCCUGCGAGUUACCGUGUGUGGCAAGGUUAAGCCGAGAGGUGUAGCCGAAGCGAAAGCGAGUCCUAACAGGGCGAAGAGUCGCGCGCGGUAGACCCGAAACCUUAGCGAUCUAUCCAUGUCCAG